AAAAAAAAUCAACAAAACACGGGGAAGGUCAGGGCUGACAUGAUUUCUGGGUGCUAAAGAGGCAGCUCAGUGAGAGUCCUCCUUGCUUGGCAUGCAUGCAUACUCUGAGCUUCAUUACCAGCACAGCAUAAACCUGGCCCCAUGGCACACACUUAUAAAAGCUGAUACUGAAGAGGAGGCAAGAGGCCGGCGGUGGUGGCGCAGCCUGUAAUCCCAGCACUCAGGCAGAGGCAGGCGGAUCUCUGAGUUCGAGGCCAGCCUGGUCUACAGAGCGAGUUCCAGUACAGCCAGGGCUACACAGAGAAACCCUGUCUCAUAAAACCAAAGAGGGGAAUGAACGAUCAGGAUCAAGACCAUCCUUUGAAGUCAGCCUGGGCUACCUGAGAUCCAGCAACAACACACCUCAGAGUAUCUUCACUUAACCAAUAUCAAAGUUUCUAGCAGUGGUCGUUGCUAUACAGCUGAAACAUUUUAUAGAGAGGACAAGAAAGGUUGAAUGAUCUACCCGGGUCCACGUAGCUAGGGAGAGAUGUGAACUAGGAACUUGGCUCCAAAAUUUGACAGACACAUGUUUCCAAAUCACCCACAAAGCCAAGACAGCUUUUACCACAGGCUGCCAGGAAGAGGGCUUUUCGAAAGAGUUCCCUGGUGGUGCUGGUCCCAGGACUGAACUCCAAGAGCUCCGUAUGCAAUGCAACUGCCUUGGAAGUCUCCUAUACCUAAGUCCUCUAUGGCCUGGGAAGGAACUCCAACCGUUUUCCCUGUGGGACAGCCACUGAGUUCAGCUCAAUAUCUCAUGGCCAAGGAUGUGUGUCCUUGUCCUUGGGGAUAUGCAAACCAGCUAACCAUCCUUCCCCCUAUACACACACACACACACACACACACACACACACGGGGGCGGGGGGAUGAUGCUCAUGUGACCCCCCUCCUGACAGACUGCUCUUCCCCGAAGAUCCUUUCUUCUCUCUGCCCUGGGAUAAGCAACUGUUGGGGCAGAGACAGAUAAACUGGUGCUGAGUACCCUUCGAGGCGAUCAAAACUGUGUUACCAGUCCCACAGAGUCCCAGUAGGCAGGGGCCCAGGGCAGGCAUUCUCAAAGCACCACACCUGCUCCACAAACCUCUAUCUGCCUUACUCCAAACUUCGGCUCUGCCCAUCACUCAGCUCUCAUCCAACCCAUGGAGCUGUACCAGCUGCCAGAGCCGGCACCCGAGAGUCCUUUAUGGGGAAUGGGGGGUUUCAAGUUCUGUCAUUCAAGGUCAGCCCCAGGGUUGACCCAUCAGACUAGAGACCAGAAACUCAGCCAAAUUUCCUAUAAAAUCCAAGCCAAGGACAGCAGGGAACAGCGAGAGCUGGAAACAAAGGCAAAGUGGAGAAGCCAUCAUUUCUAAGCCGCCCGAAGCAUGACUGAGGUUUGGAGGGAAGGAGGGAACGCAUGGAUGGCUUCGAAGGAAUGCACAGUUUGCAGAAGCAGCAGAGGCCGUGUAAAUGGAUCUGCGUACUCAGUGAAGAAUUUUCCAUGAUGACAUGCCUGCCCGACACCCCAUUAGACCACAGGCCGCUUGCUGUUCUACCUCCCACUGUCAUUCCCAAGCCUAGGAGACAAGGGAAACAGGGGCUCUCACAGUGACAUUACCCAGGGCACUUGGAGGUGUAAGCAGUCUAUGUAUAAGGGCAUCUUAGAUGCUAACAGACCUGUAGGACCAUCCAACAGGUUCUUUCUUCAAUUCUGGGGGAUUGAGCCCAGGGGCACACACCUGCUGGAAGAUAGCUCUGGUAACAAGCCACACCUCAGCAUCCAACUUUUAACUUUAAAAAUCUAUCUGAACAAGAGAAUGAGGAAAUUCUAGAGCCCCACGUGUUGACAUUAAACAGAUGAGGAAAAAAGGCAGAGCCAUUUCAGCCCCCACCUGUUACCUCAGAUAGAAAUCUUAAGCCAGACAGCCCGAAAUAAAACAAAGUGUGCAGGAAUGGGGGUGUGACUUGACUGUAGAGUGCUCCCCUCGCCCAGGUGGCACACUUGCCAUCCCAGCACUUGGAAGGUGGAAGCAGCAUCAGGAGCUUAAAGCCAGCCUACGGUAGAGACUCUGUCUCAAAAACAAAUAAGCAAGGAGCUGGAGAGAGGGCUCAGAAGUUAACAGCACGUCUACUCACGGAGGAUCCAAGUUUGGUUCCCAGUCCCCACAUCAGGCUGCUCACAUCUGCCUGUAACACCAGAUUCAGGGAGAUCCAGUGUUUUUGGCCUCCAGGGGCACCUUCAUGCAUUUGCACAUACCCAAAUGCACACACAUACAUAGAAUUAAAAUUUAUAAAAAUUAGGUUUAGAUAAAUAAAUAAUAGCACUCAGGAAAUAAAGGGAGGUGGAUCUCUGAGUUUGAGGCCAGCCUGAUCUAUAUAUCACAAGUUCCAGACUAGUUAGAGUUAUAUAAUACCCUAUCUCAAACAAACAAACAAACAAAAACACAAACAAGCAAAUCAAUCAAUAGAAUGCCUUUGAAUUGGAUCUAAAAUGACAUUGGGUUACCACCUCUGAUCAUUCUCAUUGAAAGAUGUCAGAAAACAAGCUGCCUGUGUGUUUACAAAAAGAAAAAAGGGUAAAUUCUAGAUAUUUUGUUUUUGAAACCAUCUCUCUAUGAAACCCAGGCUGAUCUCAAACUCAGUUUUCCUACUUCAGUUUCCUGAAUGCUGGACUUCCAAGUGUGUACCACCAACUCUGACUUCUGAAACCUUCUGGGAGAUCUGAACAUUUGGAAGAAGCUGAGUACACUUCCUUCACUGAAGGAUGCAGAGCCUCGAUGUCAUGUGUAAGGCACUCAACGCCAGAGCCAGCAAGGCGACCUGCAGUCACCUUCAACAGUGCAAACUGGAGAGAGGAAGAGUGUCUCAGCCCAUUCACAGGCAGCUCAACAUCCCUAAACAGGACUCUCAUCACCAGUCAACAGAGGACCCCAGGGUCAUGCCAAGGCCUGGCCUCUACAAUGGUUCCUUUCAUUUACUCAAUGGCACAGCCAAGUCAUCAACAACUUACCACUCCCUUGGGCAGAAGAUGCAAAAUUAAGAACCAGUGCAGAAAGGGAAGAUGACCACAAUACCACAGUCAGAAUUAAUACAAAAUGAGUAUAUUUUCAGUCUUCACACUUUGAAUCAGAAAAGGCCAGUGGAGAAGUGGAGAGGGCUGGAGCCAUGGUUCAGUGUUUGCCAGGUGGGGGUGGGGGCUGUUGUUCCAAUCUAGCUGAAACAGUAAGUUCCAGGUCCAUUAAUUGACCCUGUCUCAAACAAUGAGGCAGAGACAGAGAAAGACACUCAGUGCAGAACUCUGGCUUCUACAUGUACAUUCAUAUACCACCACCACACAUACAUAUGUGCGAAAAAGAAAAAAAAAACUGAAAAAGUUAGCAUAGGACAAAGGGGAGAGUCCUUGGUCUCAGCUGACCACAGAUCAGCAAACACCAGGGUAAAAAGUAAACCCCGAAAUGGAUUAUCUACCCAGGGUUGGAGAUACCAAGUUCAUUGCGUUUCAGGGUCCGUUCCACUCUGUGAUAGACUACACACAUCAUGUAACCAAGAGCUGACAGUCGAGAAGAGCCACCAGGGAAGCUUUUGCAGAGAACAAUCUGCCGCUGCAGUUAUCAGCUCCUGGUUUUCUCUCAUGGCUGACAGAGAUGAGGCUGUCAUGACACGGACGGCAGGCCACAGAUUCACGGACACCCCUACCCGAGAUGCCUCACCACUCAAGGGCCACCUGGCAUUUGGAAGUCUUGAGAAAGAACUAAACAGCCACCCAACACAGAGUUGAAGAAUACAGGAAGACAUGGAGAAUGGCAAUGCCGGCCUUCCUGCCCUCACCCCACUGGUGGCAAGACUUUCUGAAUAAGAACUUGCAGCCUCAGCCUCUCCCUCCCUGGGUUAACAAGAGCCACGGCUCACCUGCUUUCCCCGUGACUUGCCUGAGUUCUCCUGAGUCAUCUACCAAGGACAGAUAUGGAAGAUAUGUAAGAACUGCAACCUAUGGUGCGCUCCAAGCAAGAACCAGAAUCUUUGCACUCUCCUUGGCUACUGCUGGAUCCCUUCCCAUGUUCACAUGGUCCCACUGGCCUGGAAAGCCACCUCACCUGCCCAGACUGCAGAUGCUGAAACCAUUCAGUCUCCUCUCGGUGGCUCUUCCAGACACCAUCUCCUAACUGUGUUGCUCUUACGCUGAUAUUUGGGCACAUAUGGGGACAGGUGCUGAUCAAAGUACUUAAAACAUUUUGUUCAGUGAGUGGCUAAGCCUUGAAAAGCAGGAACCACUAUUAGUCUAUUGUUAAGAUGAGAAGCAGGCUCCAGCCUAAGGUCAGUGGUGGAGCUCGUACCACUAUAGUACAGAGGGAGAGGGCAGGACACAUGUUAAGUUGUUUGGUAUGAUGACGCCAGGCUUAUAACACAUCACCCCAGGUAAUAACUAAGACAACGUUAAAUGUCACCAGAAAAGGCGGGUCCCCUGCAGUAUAAGCCCCAAGAAGGGAGAGAUUUUGUAUUCCUGGAGCUUAGGCUCUGCCUAGCAUAAUGUAGCUGCACAAUUAAAUACUGUUACGUGAGUAUGGAUACAGAAUGGGGUUCAUUUGUCUUCUGAUGCCUACACACCCAACAUCUUUGAGCAUUGUUCUAAAGUAAUUUGCUUUGCUUUUAGGUAGGAACUCAUUGUGUGGCCCUGGCUGGCUUGGAAUUUGCUAUAUAGACCAGACUGGCCCCUGCAUCUCUGUGCUAGGAUUAAAGGCUUGUACCAUCAUGCCCGGCUAUAAUUGCGUUUUAAACAAUUUUAGCUACAACAAAGUAGAGCUUUUUGUCCAUUAUAAAAGGGGAGAUGCAAGCCCCAGAAAUGGUAGGGUGUUCAGGAUAAGGCUGAAUACUGGGGUGGGGAAGACUGAUGACAACCUCUCACUGAGGGACAGUGGUUCCCCCAAUCUAAGGGAAGGGAAAGAAGUCAGCUGGAGAGGGGAUGGCGAGGGGGGGGGGCAGAGACAGAAAGAGCAAAGGAAAGGCUACAAGACAGCAGAGCAAGCAGUGACUGAGGGGAAUACCCAUGGGGUGACCAGAUUGUCCUUCCUGCAGGAAGGACACCUGACACCUCCGGAAACCCUCACAAAGGCGGUGGCUAUGGAAAGACCAGGAAAAGGAAGAAAUAUAGAAGUCAAUGCAGACUGAUGUAUUUACUACCAGCCUGGCACUUCACUGACUCCUUGCCAACACCUCGCUCCAAAUACACUCACCCCUAGUCACAGACAGUCCACUGUAGCGAUGACAGACUGAGUCAUCUUAGAUACAAGCGGAACCAGUUGGACCCACCUGGGAGUGAGCUGGACAGGGUCUCUCAAAGGCCAGCAGCCUUGGGUAAACUACUUGGCUGCUCUUGGCCUGUAUUUUCUGAACACACGAGGAGCAUCCAGGACCCAGUGAGAGUUGGCCAAGUGUGUCUGUCAUCAGCAUGACAGGCUCAUCUGUCUUUCUCUGUCUAAAGUAAGAACACAGACACUGUAGACAAGUCAGAUCCAAGUAAAAGCCACUCCCCCACAAAAAGAAACGGGAGAAGUGUCAAAUCCUGGACAGGGCGAGAAGUUCAGCCUAUGCCUAGAAGGCAGGGUCCGUGAGAAGAGGUGGCAACUGGCUCUUACUUUCUCUUUCUCUAUCUUCUCAUCUCUUGGUUUCCUCAGGGCACAUGGAGAAAUCAGUGUCUCCAUAGCUGGGCAGGGAGAAACCAAGGCUCACCAUCCUUCAAAAGGGAACCUUAUCAGCUGCCUCUAGUUUUGAGUCAUCCUCACCAUGAGCCAGCCAACUAAGCAAACAGGUGAGGUCAAGGCCAGCAGGGACAGAUGGCUACUUCUCUGAACUUAGCUCCUAACUGUCCCCAGCGUCACAAUCAACAAAAGUCUGCCUGCCACUGGCCUCACACUCACUCACUGUCCAUGCCCACUGGUCUCUAGUAUGAUCCCUUCCAGACAAAAAGCCAGGGGGAAGCAGGCCCAACAGGAAUGGAGGAGUUCUCUGCACAGAAGUCACAGUUGUUUCAGCCUACUGAGUAUAGCAACUGUCUUUUUUUUUUUUUUUAAGCUACAGCCAGGCAUAGGUCAAAGAAGGGAGACCCCAAACCAUCCUUCAUCCCUCAAAGCAGUUUAGGAAUCGGGGUGAGAAGUGAGGAGUCAAUGGAGAGUGUUAGUAUGCCCAGCUGAGCAGUGGGCCCCCACUCAAUCUGAUAAUCCCCACUGAGACUGGGGACAUACCAAAACUAUCUUGGAAGAGCUAGUGGUACCACUGACUCCCCUGGCCACCACCGCCCAGCCUGUUCGCAGAUUUUUAAAAAUUCUCCCAAUGGUUACCUGGGGGUGGUGGUGAACAUCUUUAAUCCCAGCACUCGGGAGGCAGAGGCAGGCGGAUCUCUGUAAGUUCGAGGCCAGCCUGGUCUACAGAGUGAGUUCCAGGGCAGCCAUGGAUACACAGUGAAACCCUGUCACUUUGUGGGGGGGGUCCCCAAAAGUGAGGCAUGGUGAUGCACGCUUGCAAUCCUGACACUCCAGGAGGUAAGGGGAGAAUCACACGCUCAUGGCCAGCCUGGGCUAUCAAAAACAGACACACACCAAACCAAACCAACAAGAAAACAAAUUUCUUUCAAAGCAAACUAAAAACAAAUGAAAAACUUUUGCAGCUGCCUUUAGUGCAGGGAGUGGGAGCGGAGAACUAGGGCCUUCUAUCUUUCUAUCUGAGCAGAGAACAGAGGGCAGGGAGGAAUUCCUGGUAUUUUCUUCACUGCCUUCUCCCCAGCGCAGGGUGACUGGGGUGUGUCUCAGAGGGCAGCCACAGCUCAGAUCAAGAGUCCAGUCGUACCACCUUCCUCCCCGUGCCAGCGGGAGGCCCAGCUCACAACAUCUUGUCUUACCCAAGAAAGAGCAGGUCUCCUUUGGGGCAGAUGGUGGGGGGCCUGGGAGGGCAACACCGUGUUGUUCCUUCAUCAGUUGCUGCAGUUUCAACAAGCCAGAUGUCAUAGCAUCCUCUCUACCAAGACCUGGAGACUUUCCAGGAACCUUUAGCCUCCCUAACUACAUCUUCUCUACAAAAGAAGAUCUGACCAUGACCUCCUAAAAUUCCAGUUUUCUACCGCCCAGACCAGCGCCUUUCCUCACCCUACCCUUCCUCUUCUUUGGCAUGUUCAAAAUAUAUAUUGCUUUCAGCAUGGAAAAUUAUUACUCCCAGGUCAGGAGCCCCACUGCCAGGCCCAGUUUUCUGUCUUCUUCCCAUACUCUCUUAGACCGGAGAGAAGGCCCUUCCUGUCUAUACUCAUGUUUCAUCCUUGAAGAAAAGUGUCCAGCGCCCACCCACUGAAAAAGCAACCAUCUAUAGAAGUACAGGCGAGGCUCCACCCCCACACACGGCCAUGGUAGCCCUGCAGUGCCUCACACCAGAUUCAUACUCCAAGCCCAGAAACCCAGGCAGCUCAUGAGGCAGGGUGGAAAAUGGCAGGCUUUAGGGGACCCACUUAUCCUCCAAGAAACAGGGAGCCACAGCACAGUGACAAGUAAGUAAUGGGUAGGUAGGGGAUACAGUGUGGAUACACUGGAUGAAGAGUGGGGAUGAUUCACGUCCUAGGCAGGAAGUAGCAAAGGGCAUGAAAUUCUACCACGUGACUCAGAACAGUGAGUUAAAGUUCAUGAAUUACUUCUGGAAUUUUAUGUUGAAUACUUUUGGACCACAGUUGACCAUAAGUAAUCAGAAAUUUAUAGAAAGUGAAACCACAAAGGAAGAUUACUGUGCUGUGGCUUCUUGACCUGGACAGUACCUAACACAGGGGAGGGGAAGCAGUUAGCUAGGUCUUACACCCAUGUGUCGAUGUGUGAAGGCCAGAGACUGUCCUCUGCUUUCUUCCUCAGCUCCUAUCCACCUUCAUUUUUCUAGGCAAGGUCUCUCACUGAACCUGGAACUCAGAUUCAGUUAGACUGGCUAGCUAGAGGGCUCCAGGAACCCAUCUGUCUGUGCCUCCUGAGGGCUGGAAUUACAGACACAUGUUUCUGCACCUGGAUUUGAGCACUGGCUGUGAACCCAGGUUCUCGUGUUUGCAUGGCAAGCAUUUUUAACGGUUGAACUAGCCCCCCAUCCCCUCAACCAAUUUUCAAAAACAGCUACCCUGGACCCAAGGUCUGUUUGUGACUGUCUUCCCAUCCAGCUUUGGGAUUCCCCUGCUGCCCUCCCCGCCCUCUCUCAGCAGCCUCUGUGGAGCUCAGAGACACCACCUGCAAGGUCUCACGCUCUCUCGAACUCCAGAACUCCUGGGAGCAGACUUGUGCCAAAAGGGAGCAGCAGGGUUUUUAGCAGUUACAUCUGGGUUUCCGACUUUCACAGGCCUGGGAACCCUGUCCUCACUUGGAAGGGACAAAGAAAACAAAGCAGGUGGCUCUGUCCCCAUUGUUCUCACCCUGGGAUAGUCACCUGCCCUGUUCCCGGCAGGCAGCCGGCCCUCCUCCCAUGAGUGCAGAGAGGGCAAAGUUUGGCCAGGAGUACAGGGAAAGACUGCAGGGGUCUGAGCUCAGGAUGGAAUGUCAGCAAGGACCCUGAGACACCCGGAGAGCUGGAAAUCCCUGCGCGUGGAUAGAGUCACAGAGCACAGCUGCUUGCCCAAGAACCGGCCGUGGGGAGCUAGAAAGGGCCCUUCCCUCCCCGGCACUCCAGCAGGCUCCUCUGGAGCCGAGCUGCUGGAAGACAGGACGGGCAUUUUUCAUGGCCCUGCAGCAUCUGAGCCCCCAAUUCACCACCACUGCCCUCCCAAGUGGUCCAAGUCCCUGCUCUGUACUAGUAUGUGUGUCCAUCUGAGAUGCUGGGCCUUGAGUUUAUGACGUCAUCCCUUUCCACCGCCAGAAUCUAGACCUCCAGGUGCACGGCACCUGAUGAUGAUGGAAGGGGGAUUCGUUUUCUUAGUGACUGGGGUUCCUGGUAGGUUACCCAUGUGCACAUCAUAGAUAGCACUAGUUAGGGGCACAUGUUGGCAGGGGUGGGUGGCUCAUGGAGAAUGUGGGAGAAUUAUGGCGGAUACGAUCAAGAACAUCGUAUGCAUACAUGGAAUUGUCAAAGAAAGUUUCUUUGUAAAGUUGGAAAAGACUCUAGAUAGACACGACAGCAUGGCAGGAGAAUGGCCACACACUCUGAUCUGAUCUUGACCACAUCUUUAGGGUGCACACACUUAGGCUCCCCACUUCAUUCAAUUCAGCAUGACCUUGUGGAGAAAUGGAAGGAGUGACCACAGGAAGCCAUACUCAAGGUUUCUAAAAACAGCACCUUGAGUAGGCUACAAAGGAGGUCACCGUGGGAACCACUGACUGGCCAUCUCCUCAUCCAUAGCAGACAUCUGGGAAAAAGCUGGUUUGCCUGCAGCUGAGCUGCCCUGCCUCAUGGCUGCUUGCAUCCCGGCCUCUAUAACCCAGGUCUAUAUGGAACACACAUGUCCAGAUGGCCCAAUAAGAUAACUUCAAAGUUCCAAGUGUCCAGUGUGGAGUCUUCCUUUGGGGGCAACUCCAGGGCAAAGAUCCUGGCUUUGGGCAGAUGGACCCAGGCUCUAACCACACAAGCAGGUGAAGCAUGACCUAAUACCAUGGCUGGCUUACUUAUUCAUAUCUAUAAAACAGGAGAACCAUGGUUCCAUUUAGGCUAGGCUGGGAAUCAUGGUUCUGGACAAAUAGCAUGUUCUAGAAGUGGAUCCUGGAAAGUGGAUGUGGCCAUGGCUGUUUUACACACGGAACAAGGGGCCUUCUAUUCUGAGUGUCUAUGACUGCUGUAUGUGACAUUGCCUUUGGCCACCUAUCACCACCAUGACAAUCAGAGACUGGGACAAUGGUUUGAGCUUGGCACAUUUCCACCCAUGCUCCUGUAGGCACCAGCCACGGCUCAUGAUCUUCCUUCAAUCAUUUCCACACAUGUUCCUGUAGACACCUGUCCCGGCUCACAAUCUCCCUUCAAUCAGGUCUCAUCUCCACCCUCUCCUUCUCUGAGGGCCAUGCUCCAGGGCUUCAUCACACUUCAUCAUGCCAUUGGGCAUCUGUUUAUCUGACUCACUAUGUAUACUGACCAAAUGGGUCAGAGCUCAGAAGGCAGACUCCACUCACACCACUAAACCCAAAGCAGGGCCUCCACUGGAAAGCACUCCAUAUUAACCAACGAAACGAUGGGGUCUCUAAGACAUCUGCUUGCUGGGGCAUGAUGUGAGCGCCCUAUGGCUCAGGGGGGUGUGAGGUGCACUACCAGUGCAAGUGGUGGUGACGACUUCCAGGUCCCACUGGCUUUCUGUAUCCCCAGAGGUCCUAGCCUAGUCCUUGUGGACUUUGGAACUAGAUUCUAGAGGAAAGAGACUGGGUGGAGAUGGGAGGGUAAGGCUGAGUGAGGGAUGUUCAAAGCGGUUGAAGGUCCACUGGUCUUCUGGUGCAUGCCAUACCUCAGGCUCUCCUGGAAGGAGAGAGCCCUUUCAGAUCGUGCAGCAUCCCAAUCCCAGCAGCUGUUAGUUCUACUCCACUGUGCACAACUCCCAGCUCCUGCCUCCCCAGUAGGAUGCCUGCCCCUAAAUCCUGCCACAUGUUUCUUCUAGGUUAUACCUGUACCCUUAGGAGUUUGAUUGGCUCUGUCCCGUUGUGUCCUUCAAGAUGUCACAGACAGGGGCUGGAGAGGUAGCUCAGUGGUUAAAAGAACUGACUGUUCUUCCCAAGGACCUGAGUUCAAUUCCCAGCACCCACAUGGCAGCUCACAACUGUCUGAAGAUCCAGUUCCAGGGGAUCUGACACCUUCACACCAAUGCACAUAAAAUAAAGUUAAAUAAACCAUUAAAAAAUUAAAAAAAAAAAAAAGAUGUCACAGACAAUGUAGCAAGCAUCCCAACCCCACCUACACAUCCCUCCUUCUACUGUGGCUGGCAGCCUGGAUAAUAAUGAGUAACUAACUACCCAUCCUUAAAGGCGGGGAGGGGGGGUUCUGAUGAUAAAGGGUUAUGAAGAGCCCCAUUGAUUAUAAUUCGUUUAAGAUGACCACGCGGUUAAACUGUAAACCUCUUCACUAAUUAGAAAAUCAAAGCCUACAGCGUGCUAGGUGGUGGUAUAACUCCAGGAAAACUCCUGGUUGCUGUACCCCUCUCACCCAAAUUGCGCCUCCAGAUCCUGUCUGAGAGGCUGUCAUCCAACCAUGCUCCAAACAUGCUCUCGCCCCAUCGUCUCCACAAAGCUCCCUGCCCGCUCCUUCUGAAAGCCACCUGUCACAAAACCCUUCCCUUAUUGCCCGACUCUAACCUAACCCCCCACCAGCCCCCGGCUGUGGUCCAAGCCCAUUUCCUCUACUUUAGUCACUGGCUGGAGACAGACAACAGCUGGCCUCCAUCCUCCCUGGAAUAAAUUGUACAAGAAACUGCCAGGAACCGGGCACAGGCAUCUCGGCAUAGACGUACUCUGGGGGUCAGGGGAAGGAGGGGCAGUGCAGGAAUGCUUUCUCUGCCUCAAUGGCUUCUGAGGAAGAAGACUGAGUCACAACUGAGACUAUGACACCCCAUAACCCCAAAGCUACUGCAGAAACAAGGAGGACUAUGACUAUCUGUAAUAUGGCUCUACCUCUCAAAUCUCACACCCGAAGUUCUGUCCAUAGGACUCCCCCACCCACACACACAUUUAGUGACCACAGGGAUGACAUAUAGUGUGUGGGGAAAAGUGACCCCUCAGGCAUGUGAAGAAAGAGGGGCCACCCAAAAUAGCUCCCCCGCCUACCUAUCAUCACUACCAAACAUUGUGGGAUGUGACCAGGUUAAGAAGCAUAAGCCAUUUGGUACUGAUAUGACAGAAAAACCCAGCCCGCGUUCUUCCAGGACAGUGGGGCCAGGCUGAGGUGAGGGUUGCGGUAGGAGCUGAAGAAACUCCCACUCUCACUAACCUGGGGCCCAGGACCAGGGACAAGCUAGGCAACAGGAAAUGGAAAGUCUGCUGCUGGCAGAGCACAAGAAUCUUACCAGAGACAAUGGCCCACUGCCAAAACUAGAGGAGGACCCUACCCUGCUCACACGCCUCCCCCACCCCAUCCCACCCCAGGACUCGGUAGUUUUGUUUUGUUUUGUUUUAAACAGGGUCUCACUAGAAGCCCAGACUGGCCUGCAAUUUACUGUGUAGGUCCAGGCUGGCCUCGAAUUCUGUGGUCUUCUUGUCUCAGCCUACAGAGUGCAUGCUGUGUUCUUAAGCAAGAACAUCCCUCCAUACCAAGCACGUGUCACAUCUUAGCACUCAGGAGACUGAAGCAAAAGGACCCUAAGUUCAAGGCCACACCAGGCCACAUAAUAAGUCCUUUUUUACCCCCAAACAACUAUCACAAGCAAAGAGACCUUAAAAUGUUUAAAUCCUUAACUCCCUCAGUUUCCUACUGAGUGGUGAACACUCAGCUGACAAGUCUGCCCAAUGUCAGCUACUGUCUGGUCCCCUGCCCUGAAUCAUGGCCUGUUUCUUCACUUAUAAAAUACAAACACUACCACCUGCCCACUAUCCCGGGACAGUCCUCAGCAUUACAGCAAAAGGGGCCACGGCAAGCAUGAAGCCAGGCAGAGGCUCCUGAGCCACAAGCUUACAAAAUCCAGACAUAGGGAUUGUGUGGAAAGGUGGGCUGGGUGUGGGCAUGGGAGACGGAAGGAUGAACAAAUACACUGUGUUCCCAAGUCACCCGACUCGAGCAGAAGAAGAAAUCCUCCCGUGAGCUUAGUUUCCCUGACAGCAGCAGGAAGGGCUUUCUGGGAAUUGCCAGAGGGUCCAUCCAUCCGCAUAUCUACUGAAGCUGAGGCUCCUGAGCUGGGCCAGGUCACUUAAAAACUAACCCAGAAGCUGGAGAUGGCUCAGAGCAUUUGCUGCUCUUCUAGAAGACCCGAGUUCGAGCCACAUGCCCAUGUGGCAGUUCACAAUCAUUUGCUAACUCCAGUCCCAGAGGAUGCAAUCCCCUCUUCUGUUUUCUGGGGGAUCAAGCAUGCAGGUGGUGCACGUGCAGGCAAAACCCCCGUACACAUAAAAUGUUAUUAAUAUAAAAUUAGUACAGCAUACAUCAGGACAUGACCUGCUGUCUUCAUGGCCCUUCGCCCUCCCCAUUCUAACAUGAGGCUUCUGGCCAAUCCUGUGAAAAACAGCAUGAGACCAAAGGGAAAGAUGGAAGAACAAAGUUUUUUUUUUUUUUUUUUUUUUUUUGCCUUCAAUCUCCCCAGGGGCCUCUGAGCCAUUGCCUUUAUGGAGGGACAAAGGGGCUGUGUCUGGCUGCUGCAAAGGCCACGUACAGCCAAGGACCAGCACCCCACCCAUGUGUAGGGCGGUCACUCAAUCCAUUUAACCCAAGAAGGUGGGACCAGAGCCAUGACUGGACAUUCCCUGUUCCGUGAAGCUUGGAACAGAGCCAACUGAUUCAUUUAAGUUUUUGCUGAGCCACAGCCAUGUGCCCAGAAAGGGGCAAAACAAAGGCAGGGCAAGCCACUGCCUGCCCAGGAGGAUCAGUAGCCUAAGCAGAGGCCAAGCUGGUGGAUGGAAGAGUUAUGCAAAAAGGUUCCUUGAGAGGACAGAGAACAUGAACACUAAGGCUAGGACAGUUCCUAGGGCCCACACUGGCCCCUUAAAGGAUAAGCAAAAAGUACAAAGACAGCAAAGGCAACUAGGCACAGCGGCACACCCCUGGUAUCCUAACACUCAAGAGGCCAAAGCCUCCAGGAGGUUCACAAGUCCAAAGCUAGCCUGGGCUACAUGGCAAGAAUUUGUCUCAAAAAUAAAACAAAGCAAACCAGACAGGAAUAAACUAAUCUCCCUUUCUCUCUCCCCACUUUAGGGUCUUCUAAUCUUGCACACGCGGCCAGCCCUCCUUAGAGCAGGAACACAGGAUGACUAGGCACACAGGUAUGUGGGAUUAUUAGCACCUUCAUAUUGUACUCCUGUGGUUUAGAGAUGAUGUGAGAGCCCCCAAGGGAUUAUGGGAUGAAAUUUAAUCCCCGUGGUGAAUUGUUAAGAGGGUAGAAAUUGUGGAAAUUUAAUCCAAUUUGAUGUUCUGAGUUGGGCCUUAGGGAGGGGAUCAGGACUGGAUAAGGCCAUCAGGGUGGAGCCCUAUGACUGAAUCCUAGUAGCUUUAUAAGAGUGCACACGCACACACUCCACAUCAGUCUCACACUCUGGUACUUGUUUUAAACACGUGCUAUAAUGCACCACUUCAGAGUACUGCCAGUAAGAAACCCAUCUUCAGAUAGAGGCCCUUGGUGGUGGGCCAAAAUAAACCUCUUUUCUUCGCAACUUACGAAGUCAUCUGUGAUAUUGCACUAUGAGCAACAGAAAACAGCCCAGCAUACAGUCCAGCAGAACCCUGCACGUUGAGGUCCACUCAUCUGUGCGGUCUGGUGUGGCUACUGAGCACCUGAAACUUGUCAAUGCUCAGUAAUAUGAUCUGAACUUUCUUCUUUUAUUCAUUUAAACAGCUUAAUGAGCAAUAUCAUAUUAAGAAAUAAAAGCACAUCUUGGCAUAUCCCAUUCACAGAAUCUAUAUCAAGCAUACCUGACCGCCAUCUCCCCUAGUAUUUGCAUUCCCUGGACUGUCCAUAAUAAUCUAAUUCAUAUCUUGCCUGGGCUCCUGUUUCCUGUUAAUCUCAAACACAGGAUGAGAUUUCUUGGGCCCCAAGGAAGGUGGCAGGGUUGGAGUUGUAUAGAGGUCAGGACUUCACUUGUUCAUAGACCUCCAGAAGAGUGCUCCCCACACCCACUCCUGCAAGACACCAACCAACCCUGGGGAACAGCCACCUGGAAGUACAAUGGAUGGAAUUAUAUGCCUUUCUUGGCCCAUGUCAGGCCAGUUGACCAGUCUUACACCUUGUGAGGGGGGGGGGCUAUGUAUUUAUGUGUGUGUGAGCACAUGCCAAAGUUGAUUUGGGGUGUCUUCCUCAAUCACUUUCUCUUUAUUUUUGCAGAUGGCUCUCUCGAUAAACCUAGAGCUCAGUGACUGGCUGGUAGGGAUGGUCAACAAGCCCCAUAUAUUCUCUUGUCUACUUCCUCAGUCCUGGAAUUAGAGGUACACACUGCUAUGGCCAGCUUUUUACAUGGUGUGAAAAUCUAAACUCAGGUAAGAUGACGGAGCCACCUCUACAGCCUGGUCUCAAACCUCCACACCUGUUUCCUCCAGUCCCUGGCACUAUUCAUCAGGCUUUCUAGAAAGUUCUUGUCAUCCUGAGCACUGACUCCCCAGCAGGUUACACUCAUGCCCACUGUCCACUGACUACUGAAGGGACACUGGCUUUGUGUUCCCCACACAUUAAGAACAACCAAUUAAGUUCUUUGUUAUAAACACACUACAACUGUAUUACGGAAAAUGCAUGAGGCAGAAAGAGAAAAAAAGUCAUCAACAAUCCAGUCUCUAAAGCUUGGCCCAGCCUAGCUUCUGUUUUUUAAAUUGAAUUUCUGUGACUCAGUGCUAAACUUUACACCCCCUGGCUUGUUUUUGAAAAUCUCAAGUAUGGCUAGAACCUCAAACCUGCUUUUAAAACCACUUGGUGAAAACCACCGUGGACCAAGCAGCUCAGGCAUCAGGGUUUCCAUACCAUCUGGGUAGGGGCCACCCACGCCCCGGGCUGAAACACACCACUCUGAUCAACAAAGGCAACCUGCAAAAGCAGAGCCACCAGGGCAGGAUGUGCAAUACUAUGAGGACAGAUAAACUGGUUUCAGGAAGCUUAGUGUCCUGAGAAAUUUUAAGGUACAGGAACAAAUGGCUGGGGGAUACCCAAGGAUACAUAAGGACCCCCAACAGAACAAGCAGGGGAACUGAUGACAUGAAGCCUCAGUUCCUGGUAUUCUAAAGACAAGACUGUCAAAACACAUCUGUUAGUCUUCAGUAUACUGUGUAGCAAUAGGAACUUUCUAGAAUAGUACCCAGAGUGCCCUCCACAACUCUAGAGCUACACUUGCCCUGGUAGGGGUGGGAGGGCACUGCCAGGCAAACUCUUAGAGAGGUGCUGAAGUCCUCUCACCAGCAACCUGUGGACCUGCCUCAUGGACUAGUGUCCUGGCCAAGAGUGCUGGCAGCCCCCCAGGGAGCUUGCUGGAUGGAAGGGCCUGCUUAGAUCAUCUUCUGGGUUGGAGGUGGGUACAGUGAAAUUUGCCAAGGAAAGCCUGGGACAGCGCUGCCUCUAGGCCUGGAGGCUGCAGGCAGUGAGAGAGGCAGGAGACCAAAUUCGCUUGGCUCCAGCCAUCAUUGAUGAUUGUUUAGGAAUGAUUAUCCUAUAGGGUCCUCAGUUUCGGAUGCAACAGGGCACAAGUCAAGAGUCCCGUGUAGAGCAGUGAGAAAGAAAGAAUGGACAUGACAAACCAUGAGCAGUGUAGUGAGAGAUGAGGUUCAAAGGAAGCCAACCCCCAGACCCAGCAAUCAGGGCAUACCAUAGCAUCCCGACCUACAUUCAUUUGCUUACUGGGAGAACCUAGGGUGGUGACAAUAUGCUAUGCUUGUACCUACCUCUGAGCACUGUAUAACACCACCACAACACACACUAACCCCACCCACUUCAAAGGGAGAUACAUGGCAUAUAGUAUUUCUCUUCAUUCCCACUGCCCUUCAAACCAGUACUGAGUCUACAACUGGAACUCCCUGUUCAAAUGGCCUUGGUGAACAAACCUUUGGCUCAGAAAGGUGCAACAGCCCCGUCACACACUGAAUCUUCUGAGGCUCCCCAUUAUAAGUUAGCUAGUCCCACUCACUGGGCCAGUCAUUCCAAGGGACGCAGGGCUAGAACUAGAGUUUAGAAGUUGGGCAGGGGUGUGUGGAAAAGCUAUUCAUCAGGACACCCUCCCUCUUCCUGUUACCUACACUGGGGGUGCUGACAAGACACUCCUGCACCAGCCUGCCCCACUUAGCCUGCUCACUUGGCAGCUCUGGAGGGGGCAGGGACGCUGGGAAAGGCAUCUUUCCAAAGCCAACAUUGGCAGAAUGCAUUCCACAGCCCAGGGGACGUGAGUUUUAUUUGAACAGCAGUGAUAGGGAGGAAUGGGUCUGGCGUUCCUUCUAAUCCAAGGUCCAUGGACAGGUGCCUACUUCUAUCCUGCAUGAGGAAAGGGGCAGAGGAGCAGUAAGGAUACAAAGGCCACCCUGGGCAAAACAAACACCCAUAAGCUCUCUUCUUCCCCUACCCAGCCCUCAGCAUACAACAAGCAAGCUAGCUGUCCCUAGCAGGGCUGUGUCUGGAUGGCAGGUGAACCAUGGAGGAAGGAAAGUCAAGAUUCUCUACCACAUGCUAGGCAUCACUGUGAGGGGGGCAUCACUAACCCCGGGGAAGUCAAGCGGAGGUGCCUAUCACAAGGUGGCUCUAGCUGACAGAGAGGUGACAGGUGACAUCUUACAACUAAGCGAGUACACCUCUCCUCCAACUCUUUAAUUCUCUCUUGUGGGAUCCUUUCCGGGGGUCCCCUGGCCCAUACUCUGGCCAAAGGAUAGGAGGCCGAGGUAGUGCACUGAGUCCAAAGGCCCCUUAAGGACAUUGGGAAGAGGGGUGGAGAACAGGCUGGAGACAGGGGCACUGUUGACAGCCCUGGUAUAACCUAAGUUUUCCUGAUUUAAAAGUUUUUAUGCCUAAUAUGGUAAACAAGCCUGCAUAUAUGGUCUAUUUGGGCAGAACAAAGUUGUACCUGGGAUAUCAGAACCCCAAAGGCUACCAACUGCUCAGUGCAGUUCCUGAAGCCAGGAGCAUCUAGGAAGUGUGGAGAACACAAGGGUCUGAGAACUGGGGAUGCAGUUCAGUUAGAAUGCUUGCCUAGCAUGUAUGAAGCUUUGGGCUCCAUGACCAGCACUGAAUGAGAAUGGUCAUGGUGGUGUACUUGUCCACGAUGCCAGCACUCUGGAGGUAGAGACUCAAGGUCAUCCUUAGUUAAAGGUCAGCCUGGGCUACCAGAGACUCUGUGGA